CGCGGUGUUGAUUCCUUUGGCAGAGCGGUGUCUACGCCUCUUCGACAUCCGUGCCUGAAGUAGUUUCUGGAGUUCAUCUAUUCAUGCAUCGACGGCAGUUUGGAGGACGAGCAUGCAAUUGUAGGUGCAUGGAGAUUUGAGAGUCCAAUUUCCAUGGACGUAUGUCUUCUAAUACUUCAAUUAUAGCUUUCCUUCAUUUGCUGCUGUGGGAGGAGUUGCUUUUGCUUAUGUUUUGUGUCAUUUGAUGAGUAAUGGUUGACUUAAUCAUCUUACGAUGUUUAGUGCACACGUGCGGGGCGCGUCGUCUGUUAUGUCGAAGACAGUUAACAAGUUUGUUAACAUGAUGCUAUGUACUUACAAGUUCUUGAAGGGCCAAGCAGUGCGUUUGCAAUUUUAGUUGGCUUAACGUUAUACUCUGGACUUAUCAACGGGAUUUAAUCUGCGUACUCUGAUUUACUUUUGUUACUUGCCUGUAGCAUAGUGUUAGGUUCAUCUAACCAAAUUUAGAUAUAUUUCCAAUAUUCAUCAGUAUAGAAUGCAUGAAGAUAGUUGUUGCUUUAGACAUUGAUACUUUCUUUAAAGAAAUCCCUACAGUCUUCAUAAAGUUGAGGUAUAUGUAUUAUCUUAUGUUCAGUUUAUGAGAGCAUGCUUAAGAUGGGUGGUUUAGUAUUCAGUCUAAUGCUUCCAUGAUUGUCGACCAAGGAAAUUCUAAGACCUUUGCAUAUGUUUUACAUGAGUUACCCUGUAGAUAUGUUAUGAUUAUAAGAGUUUCAAUUAUACAACUGUACGAACCCAUCAUGGAUAAUGUCAUAGCUUUGAUGAAUCAAGUUUUUUUGUGAAUGGAGUUGAGAUAUAACUUCAGUCAGUAUAUUUACAUUUGAUUUUCUGUUGGAUACAGAGGAGGUGAAGUCCAAGUGUCCAAAGAUUACAUACGUAGAUCUAUACCAGCUAGCAGGAGUUGUUGCAGUAGAAGUCACUAGAGGUCCCACUGUCGACUUUGUUCCCGGAAGAAAGG